AGGAAAGAUAUUACCCGACAACGUUGACAACCUAACCUACAGUGUGCCGACAGUGAAAAACUCGAAAGAUAAAACCUUCAAACGAAGGUUCCACUCUAGGGCGUGAACACCGGCUGGAAACCCCUCGAUCAGCUGAUCGGGCCUACACGUGUCGACCAAAGACGUCCCAUUAUCGAGUCCGUUUCGACCCUCGCGGUCCGAGCCCAACUCAAAAGCUCGCCGCCCGGCUGGUCUCGGAUAAACCGCCGCCACCGUCCGUUUAGUGACGGAGCAAACCGCCGCCGCCGUCCACCUAGCCACGUAACAAACCACCGUCGCCGCCCGUCCAGCGACGGAGCGCAUUCUUGUCGCCGCCGUCAGACACAAACGCACCGCUGUCUGAGGCCGCACGCCAUCUAGCAGCCGAUAGGCCACGAACGCUUACCGGCCAACGGUUCGAGGAGAGGAAUCACCCACCAGGAUCAUGCAACAAACGCGCGCAACGAGGAAAGCCCUGACUGCAGCUGCAUGUCGAAGACAGUGACGUACACAGUAAGCGAAAACCGAUACUAACCCCUCGCUAGGAAUAAACAUGUAGAAUUCCAAAACGUUCCUCAAUUAAACUGCAUGCUUGAAUGAAACGUCGAAUUGUGUAGUGGGAGGUUGGAUCAGAAACACGCUAUAUAAACCGUUUAUUUCUUUC